GAUGAACGCUGGCGGCGUGCCUAAUACAUGCAAGUCGAGCGAACGGACGAGAAGCUUGCUUCUCUGAUGUUAGCGGCGGACGGGUGAGUAACACGUGGAUAACCUACCUAUAAGACUGGGAUAACUUCGGGAAACCGGAGCUAAUACCGGAUAAUAUUUUGAACCACAUGGUUCAAAAGUGAAAGACGGUCUUGCUGUCACUUAUAGAUGGAUCCGCGCUGCAUUAGCUAGUUGGUAAGGUAACGGCUUACCAAGGCAACGAUGCAUAGCCGACCUGAGAGGGUGAUCGGCCACACUGGAACUGAGACACGGUCCAGACUCCUACGGGAGGCAGCAGUAGGGAAUCUUCCGCAAUGGGCGAAAGCCUGACGGAGCAACGCCGCGUGAGUGAUGAAGGUCUUCGGAUUGUAAAACUCUGUUAUUAGGGAAGAACAUAUGUGUAAGUAACUGUGCACAUCUUGACGGUACCUAAUCAGAAAGCCACGGCUAACUACGUG
rnacentral:rRNA from 1 species